GUUAACAGAUAUAAAAGAGAAAAUAAAUCAUCUUAAUGAAGAAAUUAGGCAACUCGAUCUGGAUUUAGAGGAGCACCAAGGUGAAAUGAAUCAGAAAUACAAGGAGCUUAA